UGCCGUGCCCAGCCCCACUGGUGCAGCCUCCCUCUCGGAGUGAAGAUCAGCAGCUGGACAGGCAAAAAAUCGUCAUGGAAAGUAAAAGUUGGGAAGCAAGGCCUGGCUACGACUCUUGCGUUGGGGUUGUUUGGAAUUUACCAGUAUUCAGAGUUUUCAGCCAAGGUAAGAAUCCCCAGCUGAAAUGCAAAGACAAGCAGAGCCCAGAACCUAGACUAAAGAUGUUCUUCCAACAGCAUCUGGAGGACUUUUGAUCAUAAAGCCCAAGAACCUUCAGGUCCUUCCCUCUUGACCCAGCACAUCAUGAGAGUUUUUAAAAGCAUUGCCUAAGCAUAUGAAAAAAGGAGCCGGAAGAUGUUGAGCCACCCACCCCAAAGCCAGGACCUGUGCUUUGCAGUGGUUCCUGUGCUGCAGAUGGAGAUGGGAACCUGCUAGCAGCCAUAUGAAUAGUGAAGUAUCUGAUCCUGAGACCUACAUCUCAAAAAUUCCUUGAAGGACAUCCAUAUUUAGCAACAAAAUUCUGUCCUCAUUUACAUCAAUGGAGGUCACUGAGAACCCAUGGAUUUAAGGCACACACUAGUGGAAAUUGUUUUCGUCUCUCAAAUCACUUCUUUAAGGAAUCACCCAACAUGAUAUCACUUGCUCAGUUUUCUCUCAGUUUAUCUUGCCUACUUAUUUUUCAUGUGCUCUUUCUUGCUUACAUGCCCGAAUGUUCCUGUUGAUUUCCAGAAUUAUCAUUUUUCCCUCAGUGUCCAUCCUUCAAAAUUUUUUUCCAAAUAUUCCUCUAAAGACUAUGAGUUUUUAUUUUAACAUGCUUUUGUACUUCAUGGGCUUGUAGCUCAUGUGUUCCCUAA